UAGGGAAUAUUGGACAAUGGGCGCAAGCCUGAUCCAGCAAUGCCGCGUGAGCGAUGAAGGCCUUAGGGUUGUAAAGCUCUUUUACCCGGGAUGAUAAUGACAGUACCGGGAGAAUAAGCUCCGGCUAACUCCGUGCCAGCAGCCGCGGUAAUACGGAGGGAGCUAGCGUUGUUCGGAAUUACUGGGCGUAAAGCGCGCGUAGGCGGCGUUUCAAGUCAGAGGUGAAAGCCCGGGGCUCAACCCCGGAAUAGCCUUUGAAACUGGAGUGCUAGAAUCACGGAGAGGUGGGUGGAAUUCCGAGUGUAGAGGUGAAAUUCGUAGAUAUUCGGAAGAACACCAGUGGCGAAGGCGGCCCACUGGACGUGUAUUGACGCUGAGGUGCGAAAGCGUGGGGAGCAAACAGG
rnacentral:rRNA from 1 species